rnacentral:rRNA from 1 species
AGUGAACGCUGGCGGUAGGCCUAACACAUGCAAGUCGAACGGCAGCACAGUAAGAUCUUGCUCUUACGGUUGGCGAGUGGCGGACGGGUGAGGAAUACAUCGGAAUCCACUUUUUCGUGGGGGAUAACGUAGGGAAACUUACGCUAAUACCGCAUAUGUCCUACGGGUGAAAGCAGUGGAUCUUCGCACCUUUCGCGAUUGAAUGAGCCGCGGCCGGUUUACCUAGUCGGCAGGGUAAAGGCCCACCAAGGCGACGAUCCGUAGCUUGUCCGAGCGGAUGAUCGGCAACACGGAAAUGAGGAACGGGCCCAGCCGCCAAGGGGAGGCAGCAGUGGGAAAUAUUGGAAAAUGGGCGCAGGCCUGAGCCAGCCAGACCGGGGGGGUAUGGAGGGCCUUCGAGUUGUAAGCCCUGUUGUUGGGAAAGAAAAGAAGCAGAUUAAUACCCGGAUGUUCUGACGGUACCCAAUGAGUAAGCACCGGCUAACUUCGUG